AACAGAAGUACCUGACCGUACUCAAUCGAUAUUCGGAUCGUUUGCGACUCGCUGCUGCACUUCAGGCUGAUGUUUAUCCACAAAAGCCACCAAAAGAUCCAUCCAUAAUGGCGGGAGGUUAUGAUCCAGAACAGUACCAGCGUGACGUGGUUCGAAUGCGUAUUAUUAGAUCACAACAGUUGCACCAAAUUAAGACAUUAGAAGAAGAAAUUCACGAGCUGCGUUUGAAGCCAUUGUCGCAUAUUGCUUCGUCUCCUGUAUUGUCGCCUCCAGAAUCAGAUCGAUCACAGAUUAACCUUAAGAUGGUACCGCCGACUGCAAGACCGUUGC
rnacentral:misc_RNA from 1 species